rnacentral:rRNA from 1 species
CAGCCGUAAACUAUGCGCGUUAGGUGUAUCGGUGACCACGAGUUACCGAGGUGCCGAAGGGAAACCGUGAAACGUGCCGCCUGGGAAGUACGGUCGCAAGGCUGAAACUUAAAGGAAUUGGCGGGGGGAGCACCAACAAACAGGGUGGAGCCUGCGGUUUAAUUGGACUCAACGCCGGGAAGCUCACCGGAUAGGACAGCAGAAUGAUUGCCGGGCUGAAGACCCUGCAUGACUAGCUGAGAGGUGGUGCAUGGCGUCAGUGACU